CCGUGGGCUGGGGCUGUUCGGGGGCUGCUCGCUGCGGGCCGCUCCGCAGCGCCAUGGCCGCGCGGCGGCUCCAGCGGCUCGGUGCGUAGCGGGACGUUUUUUCUAACGCGCUUGGCAGUGUUUUUUAUUGACAUUCUUUUAAGGGAAAAUCUCGCAAACUGAAUGUGCUGUCCUGCUCCUCCUCUGCAGUGAGCCCCUGCUCCAGCAGCUGUGGGCUGUUAUACCUUUUCUGGGAAGGAAUAGAAAUCAUAUGUGAAAUGCAUGAGAGCAUCUCUCGCUUUGAGCACUGGACACCGUAAUAAGCGGUGCUUCAGAAAGUCCCGACCAGAGGGUGCAUUGCUGCUGCAUCUCCAAGGAACCUGUCAAGCUUAGUGUCACUGAUCCCUCAUCACAGCUUUUCUGAAGCUGUUCCUUUAAUUGUUUUCAAGCAGGCAAUUAUUUACAGUGAGAGGAGUUCUUAUUUCAAGUCAUUGCAUUUUCAGCAGAAUAAAGAGAUGAUGGGCAAGCUCCGUGGGAGUUUCUGUAUGUUUUCCAAGCUUCUCUGUGUCUUCUUUCAAAUUCGUUUUAAGAUGUCUACAAGCUAUAGAUUUUUAAAUGUCUGUUUUUACUAUUUUCAACUGAAUUUACAGUCACUCCUGUGGUUAUGGCCAUGGAAACCCCUCUAGGCCAUGGUUACAGCAGUAUCGGCUGAACCGCUGAAAUAUUAUUCUUGGCUGCUGGCUGGACUCCUUGACUCUGGAAGAUUCCGUUUCAAGUGUCAGGAUUCACUCUGCAGUGCUGGCUCACCCAUUGUGCUUAAAUCACAAUGUCAGAUGUUACCUUUUUUCCCUUCUGCAUUAUUGUUUGUGUCCAGAUAAUGUUGAUUUUAGGCACCACAGUUUGCUUGUGUGGAGGUUACUGGAGACAGCUUAAUUCAUCUCAACUAUGAAACAUCUUAUUAGUCUGAGUAAAAACUGAUUCUUAGUCAUGCUGUGAUGUGAUGGAAACUAUGUUCAUGUUGGAGUAGAUUCUGUUUUCAGCUGUAGUACUGUACUAAUAAAAUCUCGGCAGAGACUGAGUUUAUUUUCUCGUUGUUGCCAGCAUACUCACGUGAGUGUAGCCAGGAUUUCUGCUGGCCUGGCCUGAGUGCCUUUGUAGUGUUGCAGUCAUGUGCUUUACAGAGCAGUUUCAAGAAAAUGACUCAUACAAACCACUCAGGAAUGGUACUGCUGUUCUAUUUGUUAAUAGGAAGAUCAAUGCAGUUUUCACAAAAUGAGAAAGCAAAUUUAGUAGCUAGUGUUCCUGUAGUCCUUGGUCAUCUAUAGCUGCUGGUCGUUUCUGAUUAACAGUUUUCCUGCCUCUUCACUGUUAAAAUAUCCAAAAAUGAGAGCUGUAAAUGUAAAAGCUGUGCGUGUGUGCUGCUAUACUAAAUUAGGAGUCUUGUUUAUUUUAUUAGGUUUGUACUCAUGUUCUUUUGCUUCCCCCUCCCCCCCCCCCUUUUUUUUUCAUGAAAUGUUUAAGGUGUUCUGUUCAUUGAGGAUUUACUGCUUUUACAACCAUUAAACUGUACAGCACAGGGACUAAAUGCAGUUUAUUCACCCUGCAUGUAAACCUAGAUGAAACUCCUUUGUUUGGUGGUACUGAUAAUCAGCUAUCACCCAUGGUGCACAAGGCAUUAUGUGGCCUUUGGCUGAUGUGGGGGGAGAUUUUGUGUGUGACUAAAAUACUGUUAUGUCAUAACCCAUGUAUUUUUUUGAUAUUUAGAACAUUAUUAUUGUUUGCUAAUUUUUUCCCUAUGCAUCAGAAUUAAUAAAGAGUCUUCCUGUGGACUUUC